UACGUAGGGUGCAGGCGUUACUCGGAAUUACUGGGCGUAAAGCGUGCGCAGGCGGUUUGCUAAGACAGGUGUGAAAUCCCCGGGCUUAACCUGGGAACUGCGCUUGUUACUGGCAGGCUUGAGUGUGGCAGAGGGGGGUGGAAUUCCACGUGUAGCAGUGAAAUGCGUAGAGAUGUGGAGGAACACCGAUGGCGAAGGCAGCCCCCUGGGCUGACACUGACGCUCAGGCACGAAAGCGUGGGGAGCAAACAGG
rnacentral:rRNA from 1 species